rnacentral:rRNA from 1 species
AGUGAACGCUGGCGGUAGGCCUAACACAUGCAAGUCGAACGGCAGCACAGUAAGAGCUUGCUCUUACGGGUGGCGAGUGGCGGACGGGUGAGGAAUACAUCGGAAUCUACUUUUUCGUGGGGGAUAACGUAGGGAAACUUACGCUAAUACCGCAUACGACCUACGGGUGAGAGCAGGGGAUCUUCGGACCUUGCGCGAUUGAAUGAGCCGAUGUCGGAUUAGCUAGUUGGCGGGGUAAAGGCCCACCAAGGCGACGAUCCGUAGCUGGUCUGAGAGGAUGAUCAGCCACACUGGAACUGAGACACGGUCCAGACUCCUACGGGAGGCAGCAGUGGGGAAUAUUGGACAAUGGGCGCAAGCCUGAUCCAGCCAUACCGCGUGGGUGAUGAAGGCCUUCGGGUUGUAAAGCCCUUUUGUUGGGAAAGAAAAGCAGCAGGUUAAUACCCCGCUGUUCUGACGGUACCCAAAGAAUAAGCACCGGCUAACUUCGUG